ensembl:snRNA U6 U6 spliceosomal RNA
GUGCUUGCUUCGGCAACAAACAUACUAAAAUUGGAAUGAUACAGAGAAAAUUAUCAUUGUGUCCUUGCACAAGGAUAAAUGCAAAUUCAUGAAGCAUCCAAUAUUUUU